rnacentral:rRNA from 1 species
GACGAACGCUGGCGGCGUGCUUAACACAUGCAAGUCGUACGGUAAGGCCCUUUCGGGGGUCCACGAGUGGCGAACGGGUGAGUAACACGUGAGUAACCUGCCCACAACUUUGGGAUAACGCUAGGAAACUGGUGCUAAUACUGGAUAUGUGCUCCUGCUGCAUGGUGGGGGUUGGAAAGCUCCGGCGGUUGUGGAUGGACUCGCGGCCUAUCAGCUUGUUGGUGGGGUAGUGGCCUACCAAGGCGGCGACGGGUAGCCGGCCUGAGAGGGUGACCGGCCACAUUGGGACUGAGAUACGGCCCAGACUCCUACGGGAGGCAGCAGUGGGGAAUAUUGCACAAUGGGCGCAAGCCUGAUGCAGCAACGCCGCGUGCGGGAUGACGGCCUUCGGGUUGGAAACCGCUUUCAGCAGGGACGAAGCUUUUUGUGACGGUACCUGCAGAAUAAGCACCGGCUAACUACGUG